rnacentral:rRNA from 1 species
AGUAGGGAAUUUUCGUCAAUGGGCGCAAGCCUGAACGAGCAAUGCCGCGUGAGUGAAGAAGGUCUUCGGAUUGUAAAGCUCUGUUGCCGGGGAAAAAGAGGGAAUGCAGGAAAUGGCAUUUCAUGGAUGGUACCCGGCCAGAAAGCCACGGCUAACUACGUGCCAGCAGCCGCGGUAAUACGUAGGUGGCGAGCGUUAUCCGGAAUGAUUGGGCGUAAAGGGUGCGCAGGCGGUCUGUU